AAUAGAUACCCGGGUAGUCCACGCCGUAAACGAUGAGUGCUAAGUGUUAGAGGGUUUCCGCCCUUUAGUGCUGAAGUUAACGCAUUAAGCACUCCGCCUGGGGAGUACGGCCGCAAGGCUGAAACUCAAAGGAAUUGACGGGGGCCCGCACAAGCGGUGGAGCAUGUGGUUUAAUUCGAAGCAACGCGAAGAACCUUACCAGGUCUUGACAUCCUCUGAUAACCCUAGAGAUAGGGCUUCUCCUUCGGGAGCAGAGUGACAGGUGGUGCAUGGUUGUCGUCAGCUCGUGUCGUGAGAUGUUGGGUUAAGUCCCGCAACGAGCGCAACCCUUGAUCUUAGUUGCCAUCAUUAAGUUGGGCACUCUAAGGUGACUGCCGGUGACAAACCGGAGGAAGGUGGGGAUGACGUCAAAUCAUCAUGCCCCUUAUGACCUGGGCUACACACGUGCUACAAUGGACGGUACAAAGAGCUGCAAGACCGCGAGGUGGAGCUAAUCUCAUAAAAACCGUUCUCAGUUCGGA
rnacentral:rRNA from 1 species